UACGUAGGGUGCAGGCGUUAAUCGGAAUUACUGGGCGUAAAGCGUGCGCAGGCGGUUUGCUAAGACAGGUGUGAAAUCCCCGGGCUUAACCUGGGAACUGCGCUUGUAACUGGCAAGCUAGAGUGUGGCAGAGGGGGGUGGAAUUCCACGUGUAGCAGUGAAAUGCGUAGAGAUGUGGAGGAACACCAAUGGCGGAAGGCAGCAUGCACUAGGGACGAUACUGGACGCUGAGACGCGAAAGCGUGGGGAGCAAACAGG
rnacentral:rRNA from 1 species